AGUCUUAUUCCACUGCGAUACGCAGUAGUCAGUUGACCACAGAGGAUUUUAUAAAGGAGAAGAGAGACCAGCAUAGGACAGAGAUACAUCAAACCCACCUCUCACCAGAGACACCAGUCCCUUGCUUGCCUCUGUCGCUAAGCCCAGAACAUGCCCUGCAGCUGCUCCUCUGGAGGCCAUCUCCCAGCCAGGGGCUCCACUGCUCCACUUUAAUUAAUCUGGGUGGCUGAAAGUGUUUUAACCCAAGUAACUUAAGACAUGAAUUAAUAGUGAAUUUAUUUCCUCUAGGACAGAACCAGACUUAACUUUAUUAGUAAACUGUAACUGUUUUAGAAGUAAAGAAAAAAAAGGUUACUACAUCUAGUUAAAUUCACUUCCGAUUGGUUGAAACACAAGGGAGGGGCUGGGCCGGGUGGCUCACACCUGUAAUCGGAGCACUUUGGGAGGCCAAGGCAGGUGGAUCACUUGAGGCCAGGAGUUCGAGACCAGCCUGGCCAACAUGGUGAAACCUUGUCUCUACUAAAAUACAGAAAUUAGCUGGGCAUGGUGGCACAUGCUUGUAAUCCCAGCUACUUGGGAGGGAAAGCUCUUUUGGUUAACAGCAUAUUUACAAUUAGUUAACUGUAUUCUUAAAUACUUUUAACCUGAGUAACAUUUAUAAAUAUGUUAUAGGAAACCUCACAGUCACAAGUCACACUAGAAUCCAUCUGUCCAGUAUCUGUGCUUUCCCCACACCAGAAUCCAUCUGUCCAGUAUCUGUGCUUUCCCGAGUCUUCCUCUCUCAUAAGUUCCCAUUCUCAGCUGUUCAAAGCUUCAAG
rnacentral:lncRNA from 1 species